AACUUUUAACAAUGGAUCUCUUGGCUCUCGCAUCGAUGAAGAACGCAGCGAAAUGCGAUAAGUAAUUUGAAUUGCAGAAUUCAGUGAAUCAUCGAAUCUUUGAACGCACCUUGCGCUCCUUGGUAUUCCGAGGAGCAUGCCUGUUUGAGUGUCAUUAAUAUAUAUCAACCUCUCUCUUGUUGAGUGGUUUGGAUGUGGGGGGUUUGCUGGCCUGUUCAGCUCCUCUGAAAUAUAUUAGCAGAACAAACCUGUUCAUUGGUGUGAUAACUAUCUACGCUAUUGAAUGUGAGGUGCAGUUCAGCUUUCUAACAGUCCUUGGACAAUUUAUCAUUUAUGUGACCUCAAAUCAGGUAGGACUACCCGCUGAACUUAAGCAUAUCAAUAAGCGGAGGCU
rnacentral:misc_RNA from 1 species